rnacentral:misc_RNA from 1 species
CCGAAUUUUGCCCUCCGGGUAGAUCUCCCACCCGCUGCUAUCCUACUCUCGUUGCUUUGGCGGGCCGCUGGGCCCUGCCCGGGCGCCGGCCCCGGCUGGCGCGUGCCCGCAAGAUACCUCACAGACUCUGAAUGUUAGUGUCGUCCGAGUAACUAUACAAUCGUUAAAACUUUCAACAACGGAUCUCUUGGUUCUGGCAUCGAUGAAAAACGCAGCGAAAUGCGAUAAGUAAUGCGAAUUGCAGAAUUCAGUGAGUCAUCGAAUCUUUGAACGCACAUUGCGCCCUGUGGUAUUCCGCAGGGCAUGCCUGUUCGAGCGUCAUUUCAACCCUCAAGCCUCGCUUGGUGUUGGGCCCUGCCCGUCGCGGCCGGCCCUAAAGAUAGUGGCGGCGCCGCCUGGCCCUCAGCGUACUACAGCUCUCGCUCCAGGGUCCGGUGGCAGCCUGCCAGAACCCCCCAACUCUGUGGUUGACCUCGGAUCAGGUAGGGAUACCCGCUGAACUUAA